rnacentral:rRNA from 1 species
GACGAACGCUGGCGGCGUGCUUAACACAUGCAAGUCGAACGGUGAAGCUCCAGCUUGCUGGAGUGGAUCAGUGGCGAACGGGUGAGUAACACGUGAGCAACCUGCCCCUGACUCUGGGAUAAGCGCUGGAAACUGCGUCUAAUACUGGAUACGAGAAGGGUCCGCAUGGGCACUUUCUGGAAAGUUUUUCGGUUGGGGAUGGACUCGCGGCUUAUCAGCUUGUUGGUGAGGUAAUGGCUCACCAAGGCGACGACGGGUAGCCGGCCUGAGAGGGCGACCGGCCACACUGGGACUGAGACACGGCCCAGACUCCUACGGGAGGCAGCAGUGGGGAAUAUUGCACAAUGGGCGGAAGCCUGAUGCAGCGACGCCGCGUGAGGGAUGACGGCCUUCGGGUUGUAAACCUCUUUCAGCAGGGAAGAAGCGAAAGUGACGGUACCUGCAGAAGAAGCACCGGCUAACUACGUG